GGGCGAUCUCCUGUUUCAGGUCAGCCUCUGUUUAUUUCCUGGUUAGUUAAACUGGCUUUUGUCAUGUUUACGUGAAUAUUUAUACUUUGUUCAUCUCCAACAAAUCUGAUGUUCAUCCACUCAUGGAGUUUUGUUUGUGUGAAGGAGUGGGCCCGGCUAUGGAUCAGUGUGAGGACAGAGAGGAGGGAGUUCCUCCCUCUAAAACCACUCUGUGUGGGGAACAUGAGAGCCAGACCAAAGCUCAGAGGAACCAACCUGAACCCAGCUGUGUGUCCUUAAAGAGCAACGAUUCAAAAGAACUUGCGACUGAUUUCAAACAAAAAAAUUCCUCUAGUAAAACGACCCAUCAGACGCUGAAUUCUCUGAGACCUGAACCCAGCUGUGUGUCCUCAAAAAGUGAACAGCCAAAUAAUUUAAACACCAGUUUUAGACAUACUGCCAAAAAGUAAGUUACCAUAAUAUGAAAAUGAAUAUUUUACAAAAAAGAAUAUGAUUGUAAAGGCUUAAUAGAACAGCACUGAUCACAGAGUCGACUCCUCUGAAGCUGAAUCCAGCUGUGUGUCUGUGAAUUGCAGCCAGUUCAAGAAGCCACUGUGACAUUUUACACAGAAUCUUUUUUCACAGGCAAAGUGAGUUAACCCCUCUGUGAUGGCGAACCUCCCGUGUGUACAGAGUUUGUCAAAGAUGUUCUGAAUAACUCUCAGAAGUACUUUCAACUUUAAAAUAACAAAUAGAUUUGUAAAAUUUGACAAAUAGAUAGAUUUAGUGUUAUAUGUGCCACUGUUUAUAUCUUCCAGGAGAGUAUAUGCCCUUUAAUGAAUGCACAAUGCUUUCUGUUAUCUUAUUUUACAAGAUACACAAGACACUGGAGCAUUAAACUUAGAACUGCUAAAGCUGUAGCUGCGGUUUGGGCUAGUUUUCACUAGUAUUUUGGUCCUACAUUGGGCCAGUAUUUGCUGUUUUAGUUGCACAUUGACAUAUUUUUUUUUCCAAGUGUUCAAAUCUAACCCACAAUAAAAGAAAGACAAAAAUUUAAGCACGAUCUGGUCUAAAGUGAAUAAAAGUCAGGAACAAUGAUUUACAGUUUUUUGCAUGUGCUUUUGGAUCCUUGAGUAUUUUACUUGUACACCUAAUUAAUUAUUAUGACAUAAAUGUAAAAGACCUAAUGACGUUCAAACAAGUGACUGGAAUUAAUUCAUACUUUCAAAAUAAACAGAAAACUCACAAGUGUCAGAAAACAUUUGCAUUUUCUCCGAGAGAUAAUGGUUAUUUUUUCGCUACACUGAUGUUAUUACUUCGAUAAGAUUAUUUUGGGUCCAUUAAACACUAAUUAGUUUCCUCAAAAUAACUCAUCAUUUUGUUGGCAUCACAAUAUGAAAGUAAAAAUAACAAAUUAUAUCCUAUCUUCACAAUUAGAAGUCACAUUAUUCACUAAAAGUGGUUUUGUUGCUGCUGUGAAGGUGAACUGCAAAAUCCUUCAAAGUAAAGGGUCGUCUAUUUUUUUGUAUUGUUUGGCAACUGGCAACCUGUAGAAUAUUCAAACAGUGCAUUUAAACAGAAAGUCAGACAUAGUAGAAGCAAAAGAAAGACAGUAAAGCUGCAUUGAUGAUUUUUGCUUCUUUUUUUUUGAGCAGCCAAAGUUUGGUCAGAUUUUUGUUCAAAGACAUGCAGUUUGUUGGGAUAGGUUAAUUGAUUAAUGCAAAUUGCCCAUGGGUGUGAAUAUGAGCGCGAAUGGUUGUCUGUCUCUGUGUGUUAGCCUUGCGACAGACUGGCGACCUGUCCAGGGUGUACCCCGCCUCUCACCCUAUGACAGCUGGGAUGGGCUCCAGCGCCCCCCGCGAAAAGGAUAAGCGGAUGGAUGGAUGGAGGUUUAGUUCAAGUUUAUAUCAAAUAUUAACUAAUAGUUUAUGUUUUUACAGGAUGCAACAGGAGAGCUCAGAGGUUCCUAGUGGUCAGUCUGAACAGCAGGAUCAAAAACACCUGGACUCCAUAUUUAGGGUCUGUACAUUAACAGAAACGUCCUUCACUUGAGCUAAGAAUCAAACAGGACUGUGUACUAAUAUAACAUCAAGCAGCACAUGUCUGUGAAGGUUCUCGGUCAUCCACUCAUCAUAGUCUAAAGAGCUUGGAAGGAAAGCAUCUGGACUUCCUUAAGUUUCUUGAAGAUGAAAAAGCCAAAAGGGCUUAGGGACGCUCCCAACGGGGCUUAAAAAUCUGGGACUCUCCACAUUUGCUCUUAGAACCGAAGAAGCUUCUCGGAUGAGAGUUGAAACGUCUGCAAGAAACUUCAAGAAGUCCAGAUUCUUUCCUUCCAAGCUCAUACAUCAAGUAGCGCAGUUUCAUCAGAUUAAAUCAAAUUCUUGUUGAUGUAAUUCAGUUCAACAAAAUUCUCUGGCAUUGUUAAUAUGACAUCAUAAAGAGGACAAACUUAAAACUCUACAGUAACACAUGUUUUCAGUGUUCAAGUUUGUAUUUGACUGACUGACUAGCUUAUGUAAAGCUGUGUAGUCAUUAUUUCUAUACAUCCAGUAUAGAUAAGGUGGCAGGCUUUGUAAUAAAGUUCCUUUAUAGUAAUUUGUAGGCCUGUAGGUUGAAAUUCUGUACAAAACCAGAUAAGAUGUUUCUGAUAAUUAUACCAUUCAUGUUAAAAAAAUAUACAGUAUUCUGUUCUAGUUGCUGGAAGAAAACAUUAUCACUUUUGUGAAGAAUGAACUGAAGAAGAUCCAGAAAGUUCUGAGUCCAGAUCAUCCAGAAUGUUUAGCGAGUCAGUGGAAGGAUAAGGAGAUGUUAGAGGGUGAAAACCAGAAGAGGAGCAGCAGAGAAGCUCUUCUGAAGAUGGUAGAUGACUUCCUUAGGUGGAUGAAACAGGAGGAGUUGGCUGACUCUCUACAAAGAAGUAAGAACAUUUCUAUAAAGACCAGGUGUAGUGUCCAGAUCAGGCAUGUUUUUUUCCAACUAGGUUCAUAAAAAAACAACACCUGGCUGCUAUCACAUUAUGUCCCACUCCCACCACUCAUUCCAUGUUUGUAAUAUUUCCUGGUUAUAAAGUUCUGACUGUGUUGUGGUGUAUGUUUGUGAUUUCAUCAAAUCCACUCAGCUUUUGUGACCUCACUUCAUCAAUGAAGAGUGAGAGGUGUGUUAGCAGGAAGAAAACAGUUUUUAGAGUCUGGCUCAGGCAGUAUUUACCGUCCUGAGCAGCACCGUCAUUGCAAGCCCUACAACCGCUUGUGGCAGGGUGUGGGAAACAGGGGUGGGCCAGUCGUCUAAGGAGCUUGAAAAGAAAAGCGUCUGGACUUGUUUUCUUGUUUCUUGAAGAUGUUUUCACCUCUUGUCUGAGAAGCUUUUUCAGUUCUAAGAGUAGGGUGAGUCUUGGAUUUGUCUCAUCAUAGCCAAAAGGUCUAAUCUUCACCUGAAAUUUCACUGGCAAACCAUAAUUUUCCUCUAAUAUUUGUUUUGGACCAUAAAAUUAUUUUACCCAUAUCCUUUUAAAGAGAGCAAAUAAUGUUCUAACAUAGUCUUGCCAAAUAUGCAUAAUUUUACUGUGCACACAGAAAUAAAAUUAUUUCCCAAAUAUCAAAAAUCACCUUGGUUGAAAGUAUGAACCUGGAUACUAAUAGCAAACUGUGUAUCUUUCCAGAGAAGAGAGGCCAGAAAGCUGAAGGCUCUGCCUCCCAUUCUACCUUUAAAUACUCUAGGAACCACAAGUAAGCCUAUGAAAUUUUCUAGAUUUAACUGGGAGCCAAUGAAGAAAAGCCAAUAUGAGAGAAAUAUGCUCUCUUUCUCUCUAGCCCCUGUCAGUGCAGCAUUGUGGAUCAGAAUGUUCUCCAAACAUAAGAACCAAAGAGCCCUAAUUUCGUCUUAUCUGACCUUAGGAUGUGGUUUCAGUAUGGAUAGUCUUUUUCCAGGUUGUGCUUAACAUACUGCAAACUGGCUUGAAGAUGUCCAGUCCAAUUCUGCAGAAGUGGAGGUUUUCUUGGUCUGCCACUAAUUAUUUGGGUUUCACCAACGACUGUAUAGGCGUUGGCUGAAUAGCAGUGGUGCCGGUCAGAACUAACAGGAUGUUCAAAUUAGGUUCUUCCUUCUUUACUGUCAUUCGUUAACACUACAGCACAGUAAUGCAACCACAAGCUUACAGGUGGGGCGUACAAGGACUCGUAGGUGUGGGAGUGGGUGUCUGUGGUCUGUAAACAAAACGUAUACAAAGUGCUGAGUAUAAUAAACAAUCAAAUCAUGAAUUAUGCAUCAUUAACUGUUUUCCAGUAUAGCCAGAAAUACAAAUGAAAAUAAACAUUGCACUUCUACAUAAGCUAAUUCCCUGAAUGACAUAAAAGGCCCAAGACUGUCCUUUCCAGACAGGUAUUGAUGUCAUUUGUCUUUCCAGAGUCUUUGAAAUCUUUCAUUCUUACUAUUAGAUACUAUUAUUAAAUACUAUUAGAACUUUGUAUAUCAAUAUCUUGGAGAGUGUCAAGAAUUCUUUCAAUCAAGUCUAAGCUGUUUUUUUUGUCUUUGGUAUGCUUUCUCAAGUGACAUCUCAAAGCCUUGCUGUGGUUCUUAUAUUGCGUGCAAAUUAGAAGAGGAUCCUCAAUUUUAACUGGAUUUUCUAAGCUGCGAGACUUACAACGUUAAUGCUCAAAAGUAGUUUUUCAGGGGGUUAAUAAUAUUGAGCCUAAUAGUUUUUGUUUUUUUCUGAAAUCAGUCUGAAAUUGUGUACAAGCAUAAAUCAUUCCUACUUUCUAACAACAAGUAGUAUGUUCAGAAAUGUUAUUUUGAAAAUCCCACUUAACCCUUUCACACAUAGUGGUCACUAUAGUGGACAACUAUUCAAAGGCUGUUUUUUUUUUUGUAUGUGUGUUAGUGUUAAUGGUAUAGUUGCACAUAAACCACUACAUUGGACACUGAUGUGUCAGUCUGUACCCUGCCACUCACUGGUCAGCCAGUGGGUGGCAGUCCACAUCAAGACAUCACAGAGCCUCUACAUAUAUUUGUUACAUUUGUUACACAUGCUCUUAUAUUGUUAUAAAAUAUAUUUAAAAUAUAUAAAAACAUAUUUUUGUUAUGUUAUAGUUUUUAUACAGUGUAUAUUAUUUAUUCGUUUGUGAAAUUCAUAAGUCAAAACGUAUGUUGUCCACCUAAGGGGACAUAUAAAAAACUGAAAAGUUCAAAAACCUUUUUUUCAUGCCUAAAGAUGAAUAAAAAUACUUUUAAAUAUCCUGAUUGAGGUUGUCAUAUUUCAUGCAUGAAAUGGUUAAAAAAGCAAUUGGGAAAGUUAGCGGAAUUUUUGAUAAAGACUUUGAUAGGUGGGGAAUAAUUUUGCCUUCAUCUGUAUGUGAGUCUUCCUGUUAGGGAAUUCAGGAUGUUCCAGCUUUCCUCUUCUUUCAGUAUUUUCUGAAGAAAGGCAUUGUUCGGAUGUUAACAAAACAUCUUUGGUCCAAGCAUCACUUACAUAAAAUGGUGCAUAGCUCUUAAUGACAUUGAUUGAUUGAUCAUACUUUAUUCAUCCCGAGGGAAAUUGGGUUAAGGCUGCCAGCCGUGCCAGCGCCGACAUUCAUGGAGCUAUAUUUUUUUGUGAUCUUGGAAGCCACACUGAUGAAUCUUCUCUCAUGAGCUUCUCAUUCUACAGAUGCUCUCUGUGCCAAGUAUUGCAGCCUGGUGCUAUGCCUUAAGUUCGUUCAGCACCUUCCUCCUCAGGAACUCCAGCUACAUGCCAACAACAUCUCAAAUAUACAAUGAAGAAGAAGUUCCAGUGCAUGUUUGAGGGGAUUUCUAAAGCAGGAAACCCAACUCUUCUGAAUCAGAUCUACACAGAGCUCUACAUCACA